GACGAACGCUGGCGGCGUGCUUAACACAUGCAAGUCGAACGGAGAGGCCCUGCUUUUGUGGGGUGCUCGAGUGGCGAACGGGUGAGUAACACGUGAGUAACCUGCCCUUGACUUUGGGAUAACUUCAGGAAACUGGGGCUAAUACCGGAUAGGAUCUCCUGCUGCAUGGUGGGGGUUGGAAAGUUUCGGCGGUUGGGGAUGGACUCGCGGCUUAUCAGCUUGUUGGUGGGGUAGUUGCUUACCAAGGCUUUGACGGGUAGCCGGCCUGAGAGGGUGACCGGCCACAUUGGGACUGAGAUACGGCGCAGACGCCUACGGGCGGCAGCAGUGGGGAAUAUUGCACAAUGGGCGGAAGCCUGAUGCAGAAACGUCGCGUGCGUGAUGACGGCCUUCGGGUUGUGAACCGCUUUCGCCUGUGACGAAGCGUGAGUGACGGUAAUGGGUAAAGAAGCACCGGCUAACUACGUG
rnacentral:rRNA from 1 species